rnacentral:rRNA from 1 species
AGCGAACGCUGGCGGCAGGCUUAACACAUGCAAGUCGAGCGGGCACUUCGGUGUCAGCGGCAGACGGGUGAGUAACACGUGGGAACGUACCCUUUGGUUCGGAAUAACGCUGGGAAACUAGCGCUAAUACCGGAUACGCCCUUUUGGGGAAAGGCUUGCUGCCGAAGGAUCGGCCCGCGUCUGAUUAGCUAGUUGGUGGGGUAAUGGCCUACCAAGGCGACGAUCAGUAGCUGGUCUGAGAGGAUGAUCAGCCGCACUGGGACUGAGACACGGCCCAGACUCCUACGGGAGGCAGCAGUGGGGAAUAUUGGACAAUGGGCGCAAGCCUGAUCCAGCCAUGCCGCGUGAGUGAUGAAGGCCUUAGGGUUGUAAAGCUCUUUUGUCCGGGACGAUAAUGACGGUACCGGAAGAAUAAGCCCCGGCUAACUUCGUG